rnacentral:rRNA from 1 species
AGUGAACGCUGGCGGUAGGCCUAACACAUGCAAGUCGAACGGCAGCACAGUAAGAGCUUGCUCUUACGGGUGGCGAGUGGCGGACGGGUGAGGAAUACAUCGGAAUCUACUUUUUCGUGGGGGAUAACGUAGGUAAACUUACGCUAAUACCGCAUACGACCUACGGGUGAAAGCAGUGGAUCUUCGGACCUUUCGCGAUUGAAUGAGCCGAUGUCGGAUUAGCUAGUUGGCGGGGUAAAGGCCCACCAAGGCGACGAUCCGUAGCUGGUCUGAGAGGAUGGUCGGCCACACUGGAAAUUAGACACGGUCCAGACUACUACGGGAGGCAGCAGUGGGGAAUGUUGGACAAUGGGGGGAAGCCUGAUCCAGCCAUCCCGCGUGGGUGAAGAAGGCCUUCGGGUUGUAAAGCCCUUUUGUUGGGAAAGAAAAGCAGCCGGUUAAUACCCAGCUGUACUGACGGUACCCAAAGAAUAAGCACCGGCUAACUUCGUG